rnacentral:lncRNA from 1 species
UGACCUCUCCUUGUUAAUGAGCCAUGAAUCGGUAGCAUUUCUGUGUGUCCUUUCUGAAAUUACCUUCUAACAUGCAUUGCUUUUCUGCCGGGCCCACUUGUGCCCCUUCUGGUACGAGCCAUGAUGGCGACUUGCAGAGUGGUCUGGGCUUCAGCCUCCAGCCCUCCUGAUGGCCUGGGUGGGCCCCAGUUCCAUGUCUCCCCUCUGUUCCAUCACAGACUGGGGCCCAACGGGAGGAGAGCCGGCAGAGGACUGCAUGGUAAGGAUGGUGCUGGCAGGCAUGCAGCACCCCCUGAGGGAGCCCCCAGAAUGGGAUGUCCUGGACAGCUGCCCCAUCCAUGCAGACUCCCUCCUGGACCCCUCUGGGGCCUGCAUUCCCACCCUGCAGGAGGGGAUGGUGCCAAGAUGUGGAUCCACAGCAGUGCAAGAGGAGCCCAGGAGCGGCAUAGACUCCGGGCAGCACAGCGCUGCAGAGCUGAAGCCUGAGGAGAGGACCAGCUCCACCCCCAGCUGAAGUCCCAUGUGCGGAGCCCGAGCCAGCUCCACCUGCAGCUUCCUGCCCAGGGCUGGGACCACAGCCAGAGUCCAUGGCAGCCGCUUCACCUGCUGCAGUGCUGGGGCACCCGGUGGUUGCACGGCUGUCGGUGUCACCUCCUGAGCUCCGCCUGGGGCCAGCUCCUGGCCCCCUCCCACUGUUCCCCUCACUUAUGCUGGCUCUUGUUUUGGUAUUUACAAUUGCCCUUAUUUCUUG